AAAAUGAAUCGUAAUUUCCUGUCGAUAUGCACAUCUACGUAGUAUGUCCUUAUUAUCUGAAAAGGUUUCAUGAAAUUCUGUUGUGUGGUUUGAGAGGAGUUGCGAUGACAAAAGGUUGCAGUAGUAUAUUGGGCAAAUAAGUUCAAAGGGGCGUAACUCCUGGAAAAAAAUUGAACAGUAAUUUCCUGUCGAUAUGCACAUCUACGUAGUAUGUCCUUAUUAUCUGAAAAGGUUUCAUGAAAUUCUGUUGUGUGGUUUGAGAGGAGUUGCGAUGACAAAAGGUUACAGUAGUAUAUUGGGCAAAUAAGUUCAAAGGGGCGUAACUCCUGAAAAAAAAAAUGAAUCGUAAUUUCCUGUCGAUAUGCACAUCUACGUAGUAUGUCCUCAUUAUCUGAAAAGGUUUCAUGAAAUUCUGUUGUGUGGUUUGAGAGGAGUUGCGAUGACAAAAGAUUGCAGUAGUAUAUUGGGAAACAAGUUCAAAGGGGCGUAACUCCUGGAAAAAAAAUUGAAUCGUAAUUUCCUGUCGAUAUGCACAUCUACGUAGUAUAUCCUUAUUAUCUGAAAAGAUUUCACAAAAUUCUGUUGUGUGGUUUGAGAGGAGUUGCGAUGACAAAAGGUUGCAGUAGUAUAUU